AGUAAUCGUGUUGCAGAGAGAGAGGUAAUGUAGUAAUAGUGUUGCAGAGAGAGAGAGUAGGGUAAUAUAGUAAUAGUGUUGCAGAGAGAGAGAGGUAAUGUAGUAAUAGUGUUGCAGAGAGAGUAGGGUAAUAUAGUAAUAGUGUUGCAGAGAGAGGUAAUAUAGCAAUAGUGUUGCAGAGAGAGAGAGAGGUAAUAUAGUAAUAGUGUUGCAGGGAGAGAGGUAAUAUAGUAAUAGUGUUGCAGAGAGAGAGAGAGGUAAUAUAGUAAUAGUGUUGCAGAGAGAGAGAGAGGUAAUAUAGUAAUAGUGUUGCAGAGAGAGAGAGGUAAUAUAGUAAUAGUGUUGCAGAGAGAGAGAGAGAGAGGUAAUAUAGUAAUCGUGUUGCCGAGAGAGAGGUAAUAUAGUAAUAGUGUUGAGAG
ensembl:lncRNA